rnacentral:rRNA from 1 species
AUUGAACGCUGGCGGCAUGCCUUACACAUGCAAGUCGAACGGCAGCACGGGUGCUUGCACCUGGUGGCGAGUGGCGAACGGGUGAGUAAUACAUCGGAACAUGUCCUGUAGUGGGGGAUAGCCCGGCGAAAGCCGGAUUAAUACCGCAUACGAUCUACGGAUGAAAGCGGGGGACCUUCGGGCCUCGCGCUAUAGGGUUGGCCGAUGGGUGAUUAGCUAGUUGGUGGGGUAAAGGCCUAUCAAGGCGCCGAUCAGUAGCUGGUCUGAGAGGACGACCAGCCACAGUGGGACUGAGACACGGCCCAGACUCCUACGGGAGGCAGCAGUGGGGAAUGUUGGAAAAUGGGCGAAAGCCUGAUCCAGCAAUGCCGCGUGUGUGAAGAAGGCCUUCGGGUUGUAAAGCACUUUUGUCCGGAAAGAAAGCCUUGGCCCUAAUACGGUCGGGGGAUGACGGUACCGGAAGAAUAAGCACCGGCUAACUACGU